rnacentral:rRNA from 1 species
UACGUAGGGGGCAAGCGUUGUCCGGAUUUAUUGGGCGUAAAGAGCGUGUAGGCGGCCAGGUAGGUCUGCUGUGAAAACUCGAGGCUCAACCUCGAGACGUCGGCGGAAACCAUCUGGCUAGAGUCCGGAAGAGGAGAAUGGAAUUCCCGGUGUAGCGGUGAAAUGCGCAGAUAUCGGGAAGAACACCCGUGGCGAAGGCGGUUCUCUGGGACGGUACUGACGCUGAGACGCGAAAGCGUGGGGAGCGAACAGG